rnacentral:pre_miRNA from 1 species
UGGGUUCCUGGCAUGCUGAUUUGUGACUUAAGAUGAAAAUCACAUUGCCAGGGAUUACCAC